rnacentral:tRNA from 1 species
AAAUAAGAAGCGAUAUAUUGCAUUCAGUUUCGACCUGAUCUUAGAUGACUUCAUCCUUAUUUA